AUUGAACGCUGGCGGCAGGCCUAACACAUGCAAGUCGAACGGUAGCAGGAAGAAGCUUGCUUCUUCGCUGACGAGUGGCGGACGGGUGAGUAAUGUCUGGGAAACUGCCUGAUGGAGGGGGAUAACUACUGGAAACGGUAGCUAAUACCGCAUAACGUCGCAAGCCCAAAGAGGGGGACCUUCGGGCCUCUUGCCAUCGGAUGUGCCCAGAUGGGAUUAGCUUGUUGGUGGGGUAACGGCUCACCAAGGCGACGAUCCCUAGCUGGUCUGAGAGGAUGACCAGCCACACUGGAACUGAGACACGGUCCAGACUCCUACGGGAGGCAGCAGUGGGGAAUAUUGCACAAUGGGCGCAAGCCUGAUGCAGCCAUGCCGCGUGUAUGAAGAAGGCCUUCGGGUUGUAAAGUACUUUCAGCGGGGAGGAAGGGAGUAAAGUUAAUACCUUUGCUCAUUGACGUUACCCGCAGAAGAAGCACCGGCUAACUCCGUG
rnacentral:rRNA from 1 species